ensembl:lncRNA
CCUUGUGACAUUCCAGUGUUUUUUUGUUUCUUCUUCCAUUUUUCUAUCACAACGGAAACAAAUAUGCAAUGAGAUGAACAGAUUGUCAACCAUUUAGCAUCUCUUAAAGUCAUCUCUGUUCUUCAGUCCACCAACGUUUGUGUCCUGGUUCAGCACACAACCGGACCCCAUUCACCAAAGGUUCUGCUUGGAGGUUAACAUGACUGUUCACAAGCCUCUGUCCGGAGUCUCUCCCUCGUCCCAUCAUUGAAAAAACAGAGGACGCUAACGCUACAUAGCUCCCACUCAACAGUCUCUGGUGGCUGCAACACACUGACAGACGAAGCCAACGCUACGCGGCUCGCACCCCGAAGGGUCUCCUAGAGCCUGCACACCAGCGCCCCCUGCUGUUUACAGAGAGUUGGCAAGCUUCAGAAGCUUUUUUUGGUAUACAUUUACAUGGAAAAAAAUAUGUGGUGAGUGGUGAUUCUGGGUAGUGAAAUGCAUUGUGGGUUUUAGGGCAGGAGGGGGGGUUCUCCUUAGACAAGCUUGGUUUCAGCCUGCAGACAGCUAGCACCACCUCUGCCCCCUCCCACACACACCCUCAAGGUCCUCUUUACCCAUGAUACACCUGCUGAGUACUGACCUCUGCCGUCUCAGGUGUUCCGGUCACAUGAUUGGACAGACUGCUGUUGUUGGUGUUGUGGAGGGGCUGUCUGCAUCUCAAGUCUUAUUGUGCUGAACUGAGUGUUGGCAGCAUUCAGAGUCUUCAGAGGAUGGCGGAUUAGGCAGGUAAAUAGCAAACUCCCGAGUACACUGUGACCCCAGGUGGUGAGUGACGCCCCACCUGUCCUGCUCACGUCACAUUCAACACUCUUCAGAAUGUGUCUGCGUGUAGGUGUGGGAGUGUUUAUGUAGAUAUGGACGUGUCGACAUGUAUGUCAAUGUGUGUGUAUGUGCUCAUGUGAAUAAUUUAGUUUAUGUGUUCAUGCAUGUGUAUAUAUGUGCGUGUGUGUGUGUUGCCCGUAUCAAUGGUUAUGCGACACAGAGCAGCCUAGUCUGUCACAAAGCUCAGUCUCUCCGCGCUCCUCGUGGCUCUCCUUAUGUUUGUCUGUAGGGGGCGCCAAACAGCUGCAACAGCAUUGCACAGCAUUUUAGGUAGUGCCAGAGGCCCGACAUGCAGCCAGGCGAUAGCCAGACGUUCCCGAGGAGAGCCAGACGUUCCCGAGAAUAUCCUGACGCCCCGACGAGAGCCAGACGUCUGGGGACACAGGUGGGGCUGGUUGGGCUUUGAGUGUUCAGGUCAAACAGGUGGACAUUCAUCAUCAACUUUAAAAACUUCUCUGUGGACAGUAUACAGCAAAGCUCUAAGCAUACUCAAUAAUCUAUUAGAUUUCUUAUAAUGACCGUUCCUUCCGUCACACCACACGAGGGCACCAAUGCCACUCCUCCCAUGUCGGAGACUACAGGUGUGUG